ACAGUCGUGGCCGAGUGGUUAAGGCGAUGGACUAAAAAUUCAUUGGGGUCUCCCCGCACAGGUUGAAUCAUACGACUGCG
rnacentral:tRNA from 1 species